CCUACGGGCGGCAGCAGUGGGGAAUAUUGGACAAUGGGCGAAAGCCUGAUCCAGCCAUGCCGCGUGUGUGAAGAAGGCCUUCGGGUUGUAAAGCACUUUCAGUGGAGAAGAAAGCCUUGGGGCUAAUACCCUCGAGGAAGGACAUCACCCACAGAAGAAGCACCGGCUAACUCCGUGCCAGCAGCCGCGGUAAUACGGAGGGUGCGAGCGUUAAUCGGAAUUACUGGGCGUAAAGCGCGCGUAGGCGGUCUGAUAAGCCGGUUGUGAAAGCCCCGGGCUCAACCUGGGAACGGCAUCCGGAACUGUCAGGCUAGAGUGCAGGAGAGGAAGGUAGAAUUCCCGGUGUAGCGGUGAAAUGCGUAGAGAUCGGGAGGAAUACCAGUGGCGAAGGCGGCCUUCUGGACUGACACUGACGCUGAGGUGCGAAAGCGUGGGUAGCAAACAGGAUUAGAUACCCUUGUAGUC
rnacentral:rRNA from 1 species